rnacentral:rRNA from 1 species
UACGUAGGGUGCGAGCGUUGUCCGGAAUUAUUGGGCGUAAAGAGCUCGUAGGCGGUUUGUUGCGUCGGCCGUGAAAACUUGGGGCUUAACCCCGAGCCUGCGGUCGAUACGGGCAGACUUGAGUUCGGCAGGGGAGACUGGAAUUCCUGGUGUAGCGGUGAAAUGCGCAGAUAUCAGGAGGAACACCGGUGGCGAAGGCGGGUCUCUGGGCCGAUACUGACGCUGAGGGGCGAAAGCGUGGGGAGCGAACAGG